UUUUGGUCCUCAAACUUUAAUUUAUUAAGAUUAUUUAUUCGAACUUUCAAAAUUAUUAUAAUUAAAGUUUCCUAAUUUAAUUUACUAAAUACACAUCGCUAAUAUAGCAGCAUAUUAAUUAUUAAUGUAUUAUUAAUCACAACGUUAUUAUAUCACUUUUAUGUUAGUGAUACAUUUAUAUUUAGUUAACUAAACUGAAUUAUAGCACUUGAUUGUAAUAGUCUUAAAAAUUCAAACUAAAUAUUAUAAACAAUUAAAUUUUAAGGAUCAGAACAUCACAACAUCAUAGUUUGAGGACCAAACGU
rnacentral:lncRNA from 1 species